rnacentral:rRNA from 1 species
UAACGCGAAGAACCUUACCUGGGCUUGACAUGUGCCUGACCGCCCUGGAAACAGGGCUUCCCUUCGGGGCAGGUUCACAGGUGGUGCAUGGCUGUCGUCAGCUCGUGUCGUGAGAUGUUGGGUUAAGUCCCGCAACGAGCGCAACCCCCGUCGUAUGUUGCCAGCAUUUAGUUGGGGACUCAUGCGAGACUGCCGGUGGCAAACCGGAGGAAGGUGGGGAUGACGUCAAGUCAUCAUGCCCCUUAUGUCCAGGGCUACACACGUGCUACAUUGGCGCGUACAGAGGGCUGCGAUACCGCGAGGUGGAGCGAAUCCCUCAAAGCGCGUCUCGGUUCGGAUUGCAGGCUGAAACUCGCCUGCAUGAAGGUGGAGUUGCUAGUAAUCGCGGAUCAGCAUCGCCGCGGUGAAUACGUUCCCGGGUCUUGUACAC